CUUUUCGGACUCAGCCUGCCUGCACCCAGGUGGUUUUCAUGGAGACAAAAGGUGGAGAAGGACAGUCCCGUGAAGUGGAUGCAACAGUUGAAGGUAACAGUAAGUCUUCAUCAAGAGCCAGACAUGCCUUAGAAUAACAGCAGGUGAAGAGAGAAAAAGUACAGGAAAACAAACAAGGAUGGAAGUAUGGUACAGGAGGGUGCACAGUGAAUAGAAGAAAAUGCUAUGGAAGACUACUCCUCACCGAGCAAAACCCGACUAGGUGGAACGUGGACUGAAGGUGGAGAUGAAUUCAAGAGUUUUACGGAGGGCACCUGUCACCUAAUCACAGCGCCAACGACGCUACCAAGAAAGCAUCAUGGCCUUUUCUUUUACAGGCACUUUGUUUACAGGACAAAUCAAGGAAAUCAAGGAAAAGGCAUCUUUUCUCUUCCAGAUCACUUUUAGAAUCCAAGAUUUGGUACACUGGGACAAAUAAAAACACAUAGCUAUGAAAGGGUCGAUGAGAUCCCAUUUGUAACUUGGCUAAAUAGAGUUGUUUCAGUACCUGACAACUUGAGUUCAAUC
ensembl:lncRNA novel transcript